GAUGAAGAACGUAGCGAAAUGCGAUAAGUAAUGUGAAUUGCAGAAUUCAGUGAAUCAUCGAAUCUUUGAACGCACCUUGCGCCCUUUGGCCAUUCCGAAGGGCAUGCCUGUUUGAGUAUCAUGAACACCUCAACUCUUCAUGGAUUUCCAUGAUGAGCUUGGACUUUGGGGGUCUUGCCGGCCUGUGGUCGGCUCCUCUCAAAUGAAUCAGCUUGCCGGUUUUUGGUGGGCAUCACAGGUGUGAUAACUAUCUACGCUUGUGGUUUUCCACCAGGGUAACCUUCAGCAGUGGAGGUUCACUGGAGCUUACAAAUGUCUCUCCUCUGUGAGGACAGCCCUUUGAAUGUUUGAUCUCAAAUCAGGUAGGACUACCCGCUGAACUUAAGCAUAUCAAUAAGCGGAGGA
rnacentral:misc_RNA from 1 species